rnacentral:lncRNA from 1 species
ACUUUUAUUUUAUUCAAUAUAUUCAUUCAAGGCAAUCAAACAUCCUCAAAAACAUCAAAUUAUAAAUCCAUAUCAAAUCUUCAGAUACAAAAAAGAGAUAUGAUUGAAUCAAGCUAUGAAGGAGACCACCAAUCAACCAAUGGUCAAACAACAAAGAGAUAAUAACUGGAUUUCAUAUGGAACAUAAGAACGCAAGCCCAAUUAGCUACCUUCAGUUUUAAAAUGAAUAUGCCACUGAAAGUGAAAACCAAUCCAAAGAAAAUUAAUACAACAUAAUCUUAUCAUUGUUAGCCCUCAUUCUAAACAAACAUGAACCUAGAAAAAAAAAUAGGUAGGAGAUUCAGAACAACAAAUAUCCCAUAUAUAGCACAAAAAACAAACAGAAUCAUCUCAGAAACACGAAAGAACAUUCAAGACCAACCAUUUAUAAAAACACCCAAGAAUAAAAACCACUCAAAUCGCAUGAAAUGAAGAAAGGCCCACUAAUUUAAUCUAUGUUGGAUGAAAGCACAAAGAUUGCAAACACAGGUACAUUAACCCCAGAAAGAAAAAAUGGAAGUAUGAACAAUCUUACCUCUCAAUAGCCAGAUUAUUACAAGCAAGGACUUUAAUAGUCAUGGAGGACCGGACACUGGAGGUGGAAUGGUGGAUCGAUGGAGAUGGUUUUUCGAUUUGGGGAAAAAAAUAGAGGGGAUGGGUUAGGGAUUUAUCAGAUACACGGGAAAUGGGAAACGGGAAAUGUAAUAAUAAAUUUUAAAAAUAAAAAAAAUAUUAAUUAUAUCCGGGCCGGGCCCAAAAAAUUUUACCCAAGGCCCUGUUCAUUUUCUAAACAAGCCUAUAUUUUUACCUAAACCCUCUCAAAUUUCAGGCAGACCAUUGGACCGGGCCGAGCCACCCAACCCAUGAGCACUUCUACCUGGGACAAGGAGAUCCUCUAAGUUCUUUUUUAUUUUUAAUGUGUAGCAAGGGAUUAUCAUCUUUGAUGAGAUUAGCAUUGAAGGAAGGAUUGUUAAGAGGUGCAAAGGUGAGUAGAAGAGGCCUAGAAAUUUCACAUUUACUUUUUACAGAUGACAGUAUUCUGUUUGGGGAAGCAUCAGAUAGGGGGCAAGGUGCUAAAAGGAAUUCUUAAGACGUAUGAAAAAUGUUCUGGCCAAUGUGUAAAUUUCAAUAAAUCUACAAGCUUUUUCUGCACGAACACUAUAGAAGGAAAAAAUAAAGAAGUCUCGGCAAUCUUGGGGGUAAGGACCUCAACAAAUAUGGAAAGAUAUUUAUGUCUCCCGAAUGUGGUUGGUAGACGGAAAAAAGAAUCCUUUCAGCUUUUCAAAGAGAAGAUUUAUACUAGAAUUGAAGGAUGGAGUACCAGAAUGUUAUCUGAAGGAGGUAAGGAAGUAUUAUUAAAUUCGGUACUUCAGUCUAUUCCAACCUAUGCUAUGUCUUUUUUCUUACUACCAAAGUCGCUUUGUAGAGAUAUAGAAAGUAUAUUUGCUAAAUUUUGGUGGCAAAAAGCGCACGGGAAAAGAGGAAUUCAUUGGUGUCAAUGGAAAUAUUUGUGUUGGUCAAAAGAAGAAGGUGGUUUGGGUUUUAGAAACAUGGCUCAGUUUAAUGUCUCAUUACUAGCCAAAUAGGGGUGGAGAAUUUUAAACAAUCCAAAUUCUUUAAUAGCUCAAGUUUUAAAGGCAAAAUAUUACCCAAAUGUUAAUUUCUUAAAUUCACGAUUGGGGAUCAAUGCUUCGUAUAGAUGGAAAAGCAUUUGGGCUACAAAGGACACUUUAGAGGAAGGUUUGUGUUGGAAGGUGGGCAGGGGUACGCAUAUUUCAGUUAGUAAUGAUUUUUGGAUCCCAGAUAUGAAAAAGAACAGGUUAUCAGCUUUAAUUACGAAUUUGAAUGAUUUUAAAGUUGCUAAAUUAAUUGAUCAAAGUAAUAGAACAUGGAAGAAAGAAUUGAUAGCUUCUACCUUUCCAGAGGAUGUUGUCGAGAAGAUUAUUUGCAUUUCGUUGGCAGAAGAACCUUUUGAAAAUUUUCGGGUCUGGAGUGCUGAGGCGCCGGGCAAACUCACAGUACGCAGCGCCUAUAAACUAUUACAAAGCAUUGAAGAUGAUCCUAGAGCUUACGCUUUACAAGCCGACUAUAAGGAAUUCUACAAAAAAUUAUGGCUUCUGAACCUUCCUUCAAAAAUAAAAAUUACAAUCUGGAAGAUAUCAUAGAAUUUUCUAUCUACAUGAGUUAAUAUGCUACUAAGAAAGUUAACAAACACAACAGUAUGCCCCCGUUGUGGAGUAGGAACAGAGAAUAUGGACCAUCUUUUCUGUGAAUGUCCUGCUUCAAUUUCAGUUUGGAGAGAGUUAUCAUGCCAAGCAUUUUUGCAAGAAAAUCAGUUAGAGUUUGUACAGUGGCUAACCUGGGUAUUUGCGAAGAACUCGGUAUCACAGUGUAGGAUAUUUUGUUGUGCAUUAUGGGCAAUUUGGGGAGAUAAGAAUGAUAGAGUGCACAAAAAAGUGAGUAAAUCUGGAAAAGUAAUAGGGAGAUUUGUUAAUAGUUAUAUAUCAGAGUUGAAUAAGAUUGAUAAAAGCAAACCACAAACUUCUAUAACUAUUAACAAGUAGAGGAAGCCACCUGAUCAGGUUGUGAAAAUUAAUUUUGAUGCAGCAUGCGACGAAAAUUUUAAUCAAGCGGCUGUGGGGAUUGUGGCCAGAGAGAGUGAGGGCAUGGUUCUUUUAUCAUGCUCGAAGAUCUAUCAACCGAUUGCAUCAGCCUUUGCGACUGAGGUACUCAUGUGCCGGAAAGCGAUCCAAAUCGGCAUAGACAUGCAUUGGGAAAAAGUCAUUAUUGAAGGAGACUCUUUAUCAAUAAUAAAAAAACUAGUAGUUUACUUAGUUGGAGGUGUCCCCGAAUAUGCAGAAGAACAAGAGGAAAGGGAUAGAGUGAGAGAGCCAGAUUGAACAGGAAAGGGAGAAGAUGAAAUGGGGGGAGUCUGAAUGAGGGUUGGUAAUGGAAUGGACGAAAUUAAAGUCCCCUCGGGAGUGUGAAUGCGUCUUGAUGAAGAAAUGGCAGAUGAAGUGACAAGACGGUGAAGAGUCAUCUUGCUGAUUGGCCAAAAAUAACAGCAACAUUAAUGGGAAUCCAGAGCGUUCUGACUCUAUUUUUGUUCUGUUGAUUUUCUAGGCUGAAUUAGGAUUUGGUUUGUUGUUCUUAGUUUUUAUCGUUUCUUUGUUUAUUUUGAU